rnacentral:rRNA from 1 species
AUCUGACCUCAAAUCAGGUAGGACUACCCGCUGAACUUAAGCAUAUCAAUUAAGCGGAGGAAAAGAAACUAACAAGGAUUCCCCUAGUAACUGCGAGUGAAGCGGGAAAAGCUCAAAUUUAAAAUCUGGCAUCCUUAGGGUGUCCGAGUUGUAGUCUGGAGAAGCAUUUUCCGUGCUGGACUGUGUAAAAGUCUCUUGGAAUAGAGCAUCAUAGAGGGUGAGAAUCCCGUCUUUGACACUGACUACCAGUGCUUUGUGAUGUGCUCUCAAAGAGUCGCGUUGUUUGGGAAUGCAGCGCAAAAUGGGUGGUAAAUUCCAUCUAAAGCUAAAUAUUGGCGAGAGACCGAUAGCGAACAAGUACCGUGAGGGAAAGAUGAAAAGCACUUUGGAAAGAGAGUUAAACAGUACGUGAAAUUGUUGAAAGGGAAACGCUUGAAGUCAGUCGCAUUGGCUAGGACUCAGCCUUGCAUUUUUGCUUGGUGUAUUUCCUAGUUAAUGGGCCAGCAUCAAUUUUGACCAAUGGAAAAGGUUCAGGGGAAUGUGGCACCUUCGGGUGUGUUAUAGCCUCUGUUCACAUACAUUGGUUGGGAUUGAGGACCGCAGCACGCCUUUAUGGCCGGGGUUCGCCCACGUUCGUGCUUAGGAUGCUGGCGUAAUGGCUUUAAACGACCCGUCUUGAAACACGGACCAAGGAGUCUAACAUGCCUGCGAGUGUUUGGGUGUUAAACCCAUACGCGUAGUGAAAGCAAAAGUUGAGAUCCCUGUCGUGGGGAGCAUCGACGCCCGGUCUUGAGCCUUGGCGACAGAUCUGAGGUUGAGCAUGUAUGUUGGGACCCGAAAGAUGGUGAACUAUGCCCGAAUAGGGUGAAGCCAGAGGAAACUCUGGUGGAGGCUCGUAGCGAUUCUGACGUGCAAAUCGAUCGUCAA